rnacentral:lncRNA from 1 species
UUUGUAUUUGACUUUAAAAUAUUAUGAAUAAAUUUGGGUUAUUAUUUCCAUUCAUGUUGUGUAUGUGUCCAUGAAUCGUCCAAGGAAUUAAUAAGAUGAUGACAUAUAUUCUCAAGAGUUGAGAAUUUGAGACAUGUGUCAUUGGUGGUUAAUUCCUAAGUGCUCCCGAUCAAUGGAUCAUCACGGGGACGGUGAUUGAUCCAAUGAGAUUGGUGCAUAGGUCGCUUCCCUUUUGGGGAGACGAGUCUCGAGUCGACAGUGUGGGGACACUGAAGCGAAUAUGCAGGUGGUUGUUAGAGAACAAGGGUACCGAGCGUGACCAACGCGAGAAGUCACUUGGAUGUCUACUCACUCGUCAGUGACUUACUCAAUUGUUGCAGUAGUGUGACUGGUCCUUUGACCUGCGGUGCCUUAGCUAUUCACAAUGAGGUUACUGUAGUUUGACUGUACAUACACUUAGUCCCUAGCCAUUCGGGUCCUUGCGGUGCAUGUUGGCUGCAGUAGGUUCAUUGUAGGAAUAGGGUGCGCACUUAGAUGGAAUCUAUCUCCCUUGGUAGAUAGGGGUGUUAGUCCUAUGUGAUUUAUGAGACCGAGUUUAGAAGACCUUGGCCAGGGCAGAAUAAAUAGCGAAAAAGGGUUUCCGAUAUUAGAAACUCGAGUCGAAUAAAUUUAACAUAUGACAGACGAUGGGGUUUGACGAGUUAUUCCAUAACCUCCGUCUAAUCGGGACUCGUGAUAGAAGGAUUGUAUCACACGGUAACUGCACCAAGAGGUUCAGUAUUCUAUUCUACUGGAAAGCCACUACAUGCUGCUAGGCGUCACUGGUGGAUUGUGAGACUCGUGAGAAUUGUCUAGAUGAUCGAUAAUUCUCAUUGGGCUGAGUUGGAAUUGUUUCGAUCCACUGAAAAGAGUUUCAGUGAUAUUGUUGAUAGUGAUCAAAAUAUAUCUCACUACCAGAUAGAAUAAAACCUAUGGGGUCACACACAUAAGAGGUUGUGAUUGAUCGAAUAGUUAGAUCGCGAUUAUUGAAUCGCCGGAGGACCUAAUUCUCAAUAUAAUGAUAAUUGGACUAAUUUGUAAUUGUUACAAAUUAGUGGUAUUAAGGUGUAAAUGUUAUAAGAGAGGACUUACUAAUAGUUAGUAAAUUAUAAGAGGACUUAUGUGCAAAUGUUGCAUUAUUAAUUUGAUAAGAUCAAAUUAAUAUAAAAUUCAAGUCGAAUCAAAUUAGGAUUUGAUCGAUCUAACCAAUUAAGGAAAAGAUAAAUUUAAAUCUAGAUUUAUACUUAUCCUUAAUUGUCAUUAUAUUAUUAGGAAUAGGAUUAUAUUCCUAUAUAUAACAUACGGGAGUUUUUAGAAAACCCUAGCCGUUAUCUCUCUUCUCUUCUCUCUUCCAUCUUCUAGCAAGAAAGACGUCCUUUUGCAAAGGAGCUACCACCCCGGUGAGGACAUCGAUCAAAUCAAGAACCUCGUGUGGAUACCUAUAGAGGCCGGAUGCGUGUACGGCUUCAAGAGAACCGAAUUCCACGAUCAUCAAAUUGAGGUGAAGAUUUAUCCGCGAAAAAGGUAAAGAUUCGAUCUUGCUUUUCUCCUUUAAUCUUAAAGAACAUGAGGGAUCCUAAUUGCAUGGUUUUUGAGAUUGGAUCUCGAGAGUUUUCAAAAUCAAAUUGGUUUGAUUUCUUUUUCCGCUGCG